CACGUAGGGGGCGAGCGUUGUCCGGAUUCAUUGGGCGUAAAGCGCUUUAAGGCGGUUCGCUAAGUCGGGUGUGAAACCUCCAGGCUCAACCUGGAGACGCCACUCGAUACUGGCGUGACUAGAGUUCGGUAGGGGACCACGGAAUUCCUGGUGUAGCGGUGAAAUGCGCAGAUAUCAGGAGGAACACCAGUGGCGAAGGCGGUGGUCUGGGCCGAUACUGACGCUGUAGAGCGAAAGCGUGGGGAGCGAACAGG
rnacentral:rRNA from 1 species